rnacentral:rRNA from 1 species
AGAGCGAACGCUGGCGGCGUGCUUAACACAUGCAAGUCGAGUGCGCGCCUGUAGCAAUACAGGUGGCGCACGGCGCACGGGUGCGUAACACGUGGGUAAUCUGCCCUUCGAUGGGGAAUAACUCCGGGAACCGAAGCUAAUUCCGCAUAACAUUCCUUGGACCUCGGUCUGGGGAUUCAAAGCCGUAAGGCGUCGGAGGAGGACCCGCGCACGAUUAGUUAGUUGGCAGGGUAACGGCCUACCAAGACUUUGAUCGUUAGC